UACGAAGGGUGCAAACGUUGCUCGGAAUUAUUGGGCGUAAAGCGCGCGUAGGCGGCUUUGUAAGUUAGAGGUGAAAGCCCGGAGCUCAACUCCGGAAUUGCCUUUAAGACUGCAUCGCUUGAAUCAUGGAGAGGUGAGUGGAAUUCCGAGUGUAGAGGUGAAAUUCGUAGAUAUUCGGAAGAACACCAGUGGCGAAGGCGACUCACUGGACAUGUAUUGACGCUGAGGUGCGAAAGCGUGGGGAGCAAACAGG
rnacentral:rRNA from 1 species